CCUACGGGAGGCAGCAGUGGGGAAUUUUGGACAAUGGGCGCAAGCCUGAUCCAGCAAUGCCGCGUGCAGGAUGAAGGCCUUCGGGUUGUAAACUGCUUUUGUACGGAACGAAACGGUGAGCUCUAAUACAGUUUGCUAAUGACGGUACCGUAAGAAUAAGCACCGGCUAACUACGUGCCAGCAGCCGCGGUAAUACGUAGGGUGCGAGCGUUAAUCGGAAUUACUGGGCGUAAAGCGUGCGCAGGCGGUGAUGUAAGACAGAUGUGAAAUCCCCGGGCUCAACCUGGGACCUGCAUUUGUGACUGCAUCGCUAGAGUACGGUAGAGGGGGAUGGAAUUCCGCGUGUAGCAGUGAAAUGCGUAGAUAUGCGGAGGAACACCGAUGGCGAAGGCAACUCCCCGUGGACCUGUACUGACGCUCAUGCACGAAGCGGUGGGGAGACAAACAGGUAUUAGACUACCCGUGGUACGUCCACGACCCUAAACGAUGUCAACUGGUUGUUGGGUUCUUCACUGACUCAGUAACGAAGCUAACGCGUGAAGUUGACCGCCGUGGGGAGUACCGGCCGCGAGGUUAGAAACUCGAAAGUAGUAGUACGGACGUUGNGAGAGCGACGGACGGACGACGAGGGAGGGAGG
rnacentral:rRNA from 1 species